rnacentral:rRNA from 1 species
AUUGAACGCUGGCGGCAGGCCUAACACAUGCAAGUCGAGCGGAAGAAGGGAGCUGGCUCCUGGAUUCAGCGGAGGACGGGUGAGUAAUGCCGAGGAAUCUGCCUGGGAGGGGGGGAUAACGUCCGAAAACGGGCGCUAAUACCGCAUACGCUCUGAGGGAAAGAGUGGGGGAGCUUCGGACCUCACGCUAUCAGAGGAGCCUAGGACGGAUUAGCUAGUUGGUGGGGUAAAGGCCUACCAAGGCGACGAUCCGUAACUGGUCUGAGAGGAUGAUCAGUCACACUGGAACUGAGACACGGUCCAGACUCCUACGGGAGGCAGCAGUGGGGAAUAUUGGACAAAGGGCGAAAGCCUGAUCCAGCCAUGCCGCGUGUGUGAAGAAGGUCUUCGGAUUGUAAAGUACUUUUAGUUGGGAGGAAGGGCAGUAAGUUAAUACCUUGCUGUUUUGACGUUACCAAAAGAAUAAGCACCGGCUAACUUCGUG